rnacentral:miRNA from 1 species
CAGACCCUACCUCCCAGACCCUCCCACCUCCUGGACAGCUCACUAAGAAUGCAGCUUCAAAAUGGAUGCUGUCCAGGAGGUGGGAGGGUCUGGGAGGGAGGGUCUG